UAAAACAGUUUAUAUGUGUAGAAACUCACAUACAAUCCCUUUAAAAGGACAACAAAAAUCUAUUUUCUAGGUUUCAAAUACUCGCUGCCUGUUAGGAUUGGAGCAUUUGUAGCUUGCUCCUUUGUGGAGGACGGCAGGUGUAGUCAGCUUGGACUCACAGCAGUUACAAUGGAUCCAAAUGGUGACCCUGAGUCAUGGCACUCCACUUUGCCCGGUAACACCAGUGCUUUCUGUUCAUUUUAAUUUUUUCAUUUCAAAAGUUGUUGAAGGAUAAACCCCUUCUUGUUUUCAAGGGAGUCCUCAGGCACAAAACAUUUAAGCACAUAAAUAAUAAUGUAAUAAAUUAAACAAUUCAUACACACAUAACAUAUAUCUAUACACAUAAAAAGGCUCUCCCUCCAUCCCAUCCCAGACCACACCAACAUAACAUGAAAACAGUUAACAUGAUAAUAGAAUAAAAUUAUGUCAAAGUACUUUAUAAACUGAAAUAACUGAGAUAAAUACAAUAAAAAAAAAAACAAGUAGAUUUAAGAUGAACAAGCAAAGAAGUUUUGAAGUCAUGGAAAGAUCAAAGUUUUUAGUCUCUCAGCCCAAGCCAAGGUAACCCCCGAUGACAUCACUAUGACAUCAUCAGGGGGGUUAUUUAUUAGAUUUGAGAGAGCUCCUCCAGAACCACAACUGUUUUCUCCGGCUGAGUGGUAUUCCUCCAGACGUGUAAACUGAGCUUCAUGUGUAAAAUUGGUGAAGUGCUCCAAGCACCCGGAGUAACGGAGAGUGAUUAUAUGAAGCUCAAAAGAUAGAUUUUUUUUUUUUUUUUGGCGUGAAGUAUAUUAACUGUAGAAUCAUCGACAUUCACAGCCCAUUUUCUCAAAGCUGUGCUGCCCGGCUCGGGAAGAAUAAAAUUCAGACUGAUGGAGAUUAACGCGCUGCUUGUUCUUCCUCUUUCCUCCCGUGUUCCUCUCCUCUCCUCUCCGGGCUCUCUCCUCCCUCCUUCCUCUCUCUCUCUCUCUCUCUCUCUCUCUCUUCACCCUAACAGCUAGAGCAGUUAUUACUACUUAAAGUACUGCACUUGCUGACAGGGAGGUUCGUGGUUGUGUAUGUGUGUGUGUGUGUGUAUGUGCUGUAAAACACUGGUCUGAUGGCUCCCGUGGGUAUUUCAGAAGCUGCAGUCGCUUCUCUAAAGUUCAAGCAAUUACAUUUUCCGACCGGGUGCCAUUUGCCAAACAGUCUCUGGCUGUAUGUGUGUGUGAGUGUGUAUGUGUUUGCUCAUAUGGGCAUCUGUGUUUGUUUAUUAUGUAUGUGGCUUUUCUGUUUAAAAUAAUAUGCUGUAUCUUAUAUACGUAAAGAUCCUCAGUGAAGUACAGGAAACAGAGCUGCUGAAGGGUGUGUAGGUUGGAUAAAUAUGCAAAUAUACAGUGACCGAGGUUAAAACGGCUCACUUACACUUUGUGUAGCUUGAAAACUCUAGUUUGUUUCAUAUUUAUUGCAGAGUAUUAGUGGGUGGACUGGAGAGUAAAAAUGAAUAAUACUACUGAGGCUGAAAUUAAUGAUUAUUUUUCAUUAUAAAUUAAGCUGUUAAUGAUUUACAUAUUCAAGGUUUAUUAAUCUAGAAAAUGUCCAAAAAUAAUGAAAAAUGCACUGUGAGUUCUUCAAGUAAGUGACAGUCUAAAGGCUACAUCCACACUAAUACGUUUUCGUUUUAAACCGGCGUGCAGACGACAGUUUAGGGCUGUUUCCACAUUAAUCUCCGUCCAUACUACCACGCCUGAAAACACGUAUCACAUGACCAUUCACGUACACUUGGCAUGCCGGUGUAAACAGUAAGCAGCGCGGUUGGUUGGUCAGGUUGCAGUAAAUCCGAAAUGGCGAAAUGCAAAAUUUAACUGCACAACAGCUGCUAGACAACAAGGUCAGCGACGCUUGUAACUCAUUAUCCAUGUUGAUAUUAACCACUGGUGGUCGAGGUUGUUUUUCUUAUAGAGAAGGGUCACGUGACGGGGCGUGACGAAUCAGGAAAGGACACGUCGUGACUUGUAAGACCCGAUCAAGAAGCGAACGUGGGUGUCUACGUCAUCAUUUUCAAAGGUCUCCGUUUCUGUCCGUACAGACUGAAAAGCAACCCUGGUGUGUAAAGGCUUUUAAACCCCAGAAACAUUCAAAUUACAAUCAUAUAAAACAAAGAAAAGAUGACAAAUCUCAUAUUUGAAAAGCAGGAACCAGCCAAUGUUUGACAUAUCUGAUUGAACAUAGAGAAUGAAUCAAUUCUAUCAACUCUAUCAAUCAAUAAUCCAUUAUUUUACUGACAGAACUAGAUAUGACAUAGUACUAAAAGUCAUUUCAGGGUUAUAAGAUCAAGUUGUGUUACUGGCCAGAUCUGUGGAUCUAAAACAGUGGAUUCAGCUGUAAAGUGAGGUUUUAAGUGCAGUAAUGCAGCACUGGGUCAGUGUACUGUGGGUAGGCAGAGUGAUGUGUUUGGCAUGCUGCAGUAGAUGUGUACAUGACUGGAAUGUGUCUGAGCAGCAGGUUUCGUGUUGGCCUGGUGUAGCAUUACAGACUAGGAUUGCACCAAUAUGUGCUGUUAAAGGCCAACGCAGAUAACUUUGGGAUUGAAGACGCCAAUGAGUGAUGUUUUAGUUUUAUGUGUUUGCCAAAGAUAUCUCAGAAAGGUAAACAGAGUCCGAGAUGGAAGGUUAUUCUGGUCAGGUUGCAGCGUGAAAGCGUAUGCAUGUAACACUGCAACUUAAGAUGGUGAUGGCGAAGCAUAUUUUUGCGUACUGUACUUUCAUGAAAUCGGAUUUAAUUGUCAUAUGAGAAGUGUUUCAGUUGUAA